UACGAAGGGGGCUAGCGUUGCUCGGAAUCACUGGGCGUAAAGGGUGCGUAGGCGGGUCUUUAAGUCAGGGGUGAAAUCCUGGAGCUCAACUCCAGAACUGCCUUUGAUACUGAGGAUCUUGAGUUCGGGAGAGGUGAGUGGAACUGCGAGUGUAGAGGUGAAAUUCGUAGAUAUUCGCAAGAACCCCAGUGGCGAAGGCGGCUCACUGGCCCGAUACUGACGCUGAGGCACGAAAGCGUGGGGAGCAAACAGG
rnacentral:rRNA from 1 species